rnacentral:rRNA from 1 species
AUUGAACGCUGGCGGCAGGCCUAACACAUGCAAGUCGAGCGGUAGAGAGGUGCUUGCAUCUCUUGAGAGCGGCGGACGGGUGAGUAAUGCCUAGGAAUCUGCCUAGUGGUGGGGGAUAACGUUCGGAAACGGACGCUAAUACCGCAUACGUCCUACGGGAGAAAGCGGGGGAUCUUCGGACCUCGCGCCAUUAGAUGAGCCUAGGUCGGAUUAGCUAGUUGGUGAGGUAAUGGCUCACCAAGGCGACGAUCCGUAACUGGUCUGAGAGGAUGAUCAGUCACACUGGAACUGAGACACGGUCCAGACUCCUACGGGAGGCAGCAGUGGGGAAUAUUGGACAAUGGGCGAAAGCCUGAUCCAGCCAUGCCGCGUGUGUGAAGAAGGUCUUCGGAUUGUAAAGCGCUUUAAGUUGGGAGGAAGGGUAGUAACCUAAUACGUUGCUACUUUGACGUUACCGACAGAAUAAGCACCGGCUAACUUCGUG